rnacentral:tRNA from 1 species
GCCGAUGUAGCUCAGUUGGUAGAGCAUUUCCAUGGUAAGGAAAAGGUCACCGGUUCGAUUCCGGUCAUCGGCU